CUCCCUCUCACUCCAUCUCCUAUAUGCAAUCAGAUUAGUCUAAGUAUCACCGCUUCGUUCCUUGGAAUUAUACCAACCCUGAUCUUUAUUAAUCUUCUUUCUCUCCAUCGGUCGUCCCGUCCUCCCUCUCACUCCAUCUCCUAUAUGCAGCUUAUGCAUGCCUCCGUUGGUCGGCGGUGGUGGUCUCCCAUGAAGAUGAAGAUUUUAUGACGUAUCUGGUUACGCCGACGGUGACAAAGGUAUUGGAUUCAAAUGAUGCACAAAUCAGAUGCCGACAACUCCAUCUCAGGUCCAUCAAACAUUUGCAACUUUUGGAUUUGAUGGUGCUUUUAACUUCUGGGAUACUGACGGCAAACAAAGAUUGAAUGUAUUUCUAUUAGACAUGUGAGAAAAUGACAUGUCACCUUUUUGAGAUUAUUAUUUAUCAAAAUCUAAUUAUUGUUUGACAGGCGAUGUCAAGAUGCAGUGCACCUAUACCUUGUAGCAGUUUCAACGAUGAUUUUGUUUGUUUGUAUUGUUAGGUUGUUGAAUUUUUGAUUGCAUUACACAGAGCAUUCUUGGAAUUCAUAAGCUUCUAUAGGAAUGGAGGUAUCUUCGAUUUAGGUCAUGUCUUCUUAGUCGUAUGUUCCUUUCUACACUCCGACACAACACACUUUGUAUACCCAAAUAGGUCUAGAUCAUUUUCUUAGCAUUUGUCUCAUUUUCUUACAAUUUGUUAUCUUUACAAGUUACACCUAAGCAUUAUCUAAUUGAAGUGAAAAAGGGGCAAGGAAAGUGAACUCUUAGCAUUUACAUGUUACAUCUAACCAUUUAUGUGACAUGUUUUUCUCUUCACCCCUGAUUUUAGGGCUGCUUAUCACGAUUUUUUUUUGUUAUGUGAUGAGAAAUUGAAACAGAACAAACAACAGUGGAUGACUGAUAGAGAAAACUGGAAUUGAAAUUGAUGAUCGAAUGAGACAAGAUAGAGAAUACAAUCUCCUGAUAGGAUGAUUGCCCAGGGAUGAAUCCCUCUCUCAAAGGCCUAGCCAAUGAGCCAAUGUCACUCUAGCGACUAACACCAAUCUAACAAAGCAACCCUACACUCUAAUUAUUAGCAAACCUCUAACAAACUCUAUUUAGGAAUUACCCUUUUAAGUAUUUAACUAUCUAAUUCCUAUCAUUAUGUUGCUGAAACAGAUUUUUAACACUUUGGAUCACAAGAGGACACUACAAAGGUAACUAGUGUGCUUUAAAUAUUGGUGAUAAUUCAUAAUUUUUUUGCAAUUCUUGCCCUUUACUAAUUUUCAUUGCAUAUAUAAUUCUGUGAGAACAUCUUCUUGCUCAUUCUACCUGUUAGUGGUGCAUACAUGGCCUGUUUUGACAUAAUUCUCCUUUUAAGUAACAAAAGAAGUGGUCAUAAUGCUUUACGUCAUGAUUGGCUCCUUAGCUGUUAUCAACUCUUAGUAUGGAAUUUUCGUAAGCCGAUGACCAUCAUCAUCUUCAUUGUCGGUAAUCACCACAACCCUAUCCCAGCGCUAUAAGCAUCUCCGACACAUUACAACAGGAGCGAGAGAAGGUUCGAUAGAGAUUCAAUAAAAAAAACUCUCGUUUAGUACAUGUGUUCGUUCCAUUGUGUCGGCAAACAAAAAAAAAUCAAGAAUCCCUUCCUAAGAGGUUCGUCCCUAUUAUGUUAUAAUUAAUUGCUUUUUUGUUUUUAAAUCCAUACAAUGUUUAUAUAUUAAUACCAUCACAAGUAUCAUCGUCGCUUAGAGAUUUUGGUCGACAAAAAAGUUGAUUGUUUACUUUUUAUUUUUUAAAACCAUAUUACUUACGGUUCAUAAUUUUCUUAAAAAGCAAGCUGUUUUUCAUUAUUGACUAACAUCUCACUUUUAUUUAUUGAUUAUAGACUAGGAAACAUACGGAGUUUGUGGAUAGUUGUGUUGAGCUUAGAAUGUAUUUCUAAAAUGAAUCACUAACGUUUGUUAGAGUAUUUUAUCGUAGGAUUUGAUAAUGUGUAUAUUUUUUGUCAGAGACAUGAGCAUUGCAUAUAUUAGAUGAUGAAGAUAAAUGUAUUCUCAUAUAAUAGUAUUCUUACAUAAUGUAAUUCUCGUCGGAUGUUAGUCUCACAUAAUGUCAUUUUCGUAAGAAUGGUUAGAAUCAAGUCGACUCUGGACUAUUGAAGAAGAUCAAAUGCAUUUUUUCAAGAAUUGUAUAUACAAGCAUGUUAUGUUUUUUAAGAAUUUAUUUCAUUUUUAUGACAUUCUGUUAUAA